ensembl:misc_RNA Metazoa_SRP Metazoan signal recognition particle RNA
GCCUGAUGCAGUGGCUUGUAUCUGUAGUCCCUGUUACUUGGGAGGCUGAGACAGGAGGAUCACUUGAGCCAAGGAGGCCAAGGCUGUAGUGAGCUAUGAUUGCACACUGCAUUCCAGCCUGGGCAACAGAGUGAGACCCUGUCUCUC